rnacentral:rRNA from 1 species
UACGUAGGGGGCAAGCGUUGUCCGGAUUUAUUGGGCGUAAAGAGCGUGUAGGCGGCCAUACAGGUCCGUUGUGAAAACUGGAGGCUUAACCUCCAGACGUCGAUGGAAACCGUAUGGCUAGAGUCCGGAAGAGGAGAGUGGAAUUCCUGGUGUAGCAGUGAAAUGCGUAGAGAUCAUGAGGAAGACCAGUGGCGAAGGCGGGUCUCUGGACAGUUCCUGACACUGAGGCACGAAGGCCAGGGGAGCAAACGGG